rnacentral:rRNA from 1 species
UACGUAGGGUGCGAGCGUUUGUCCGGAAUUAUUGGGCGUAAAGGGCUCGUAGGCGGUUUGUCGCGUCGGGAGUGAAAAUCCAGGGCUUAACUCUGGACUGGCUUCCGAUACGGGCAGACUAGAGGUAGGCAGGGGAGAACGGAAUUCCUGGUGUAGCGGUGAAAUGCGCAGAUAUCAGGAGGAACACCGGUGGCGAAGGCGGUUCUCUGGGCCUUACCUGACGCUGAGGAGCGAAAGCGUGGGGAGCAAACAGG